CAGCAGCCGCGGUAAUACGAAGGGGGCUAGCGUUGUUCGGAAUGACUGGGCGUAAAGGGCGCGUAGGCGGCGAUCAAAGUCAGGCGUGAAAUUCCUGGGCUCAACCUGGGGGCUGCGUUUGAUACUUGAUUGCUAGAGUGGGGAAGAGGGUCGUGGAAUUCCCAGUGUAGAGGUGAAAUUCGUAGAUAUUGGGAAGAACACCGGUGGCGAAAGCGGCUCACUGGACAAUAACUGACGCUGAUGCACGAAAGCUAGGGGAGCGAACAGGAUUAGAUACCCCCGUAGUCCCUGUCUCUUAUAC
rnacentral:rRNA from 1 species